GUUGAUCCUGCGGGAGGCUAUUGCUAGCGGGAUUCGAUUAAGUCAUGCAAGUUGAAGAACUUCGGUUCUUGGCGGAAGGCUCAGUAGCACGUCAAUAAUCUGCCCUUGGGUGGGGAAUAACCUCGGGAAACUGAGGAUAAUACCCCAUAUUUAAAGGAUGCUGGAAUGCACUUUUAGAAAAAGCUUCGGCGCCCAAGGAUGAGUUGGCGGCAGAUUAGGCUGUUGGUGGUGUAAUGGACCACCAAACCUCAGAUCUGUAGGGGGGAUGAGAGUCCUUGCCCCGAGAAGGACACUGAGACAAGGGUCCUAGCCCUACGGGGUGCAGCAGAUGCGAAACCUACACAAUGCGCGAAAGCGUGAUGUGGGGAGCCCGCGUGCUUGCGUAAAACGUAAGCUUUUCUAGAGUGUAAGUAGCUCUGGGAAUAAGUGGUGGGCAAGACCGGUGCCAGCCGCCGCGGUAAUACCGGCGCCACGAGUGAUAGCCGCGUUUAUUGGGCCUAAAGCAUCCGUAGCCGGAUAAGUCAGUUUCCAGUGAAAUCCAACAGCUUAACUGUUGGGCGUGCUGGGAGUACUGCUUAUCUUGAGACCGGGAGGAGUUAAGAGAAUUUCUGGGGGAGCGGUAAAAUGUUGUAAUCCCAGGAGGACUAUCUGUGGCGAAGGCGCUUAACGAGAACGGGUCUACGGUCAGGGAUGAAAGCUAGGGGAGCAAACCGGAUUAGAUACCCGGGUAGUCCUAGCCGUAAACGCUGCUUGUUUGGUGUUGCGUAUCUUUCGCGGAUAUGCAGUACUGUAGUGAAGACGUUGAACAAGCCGCCUGGGGAGUAUGGUCGCAAGGCUGAAACUUAAAGGAAUUGGCGGGGGGUCACCACAAGGGGUGCAUCCUGCGGUUUAAUUGGAUUAUACCCCCGGAACCUUACCAGGAGCGACAGCAGAAUGAAGGUCUACCUGAAUGGUAUACUCGACGCGCUGAGAGGUGGUGCAUGGCCGCCGUCAGCUCGUGCCGUGAGGUGUUCGGUUAAGUCCGAGAACGAGCAAGACCUGUGCUUCUAGUUGCUACUGUUCUUUUUCGAGAGCAAGCACACUAGAGGGACUGCAUGCGUUAAGCAUGAGGAAGGUGCAGGCUACGGUAGGUCUGUAUGCCCCGAAUCUCCUGGGCUACACGCGGGACGCAUUGGUUGAAACAACGGGUUGCAACUCCGAAAGGAGAAGCUAAUCCCUUAAAUUCAAUCGUGUUCUAAUUGAGGGCUGCAACUCGUCCUCAUGAAGUCGAAAUCCCUAGUAAUCCUGCAUUAGCAAUGCGGGGUGAAUACGUCCCUGACCCUUGCACACACUGCCCGUCAAGCCACCCGAGUCGGGUCUAGAUGAGGUGCGUUCUUUAUGUUCGUUUCAAAUCUAGGUUCAGCAAGGUGGGCUAAGUCGACACAAGGUA
rnacentral:rRNA from 1 species